rnacentral:lncRNA from 1 species
GUCAUGAUAAACCAAAGCCCUCAAUAUGCCUCAAUAGUCAAAGAUGAAGUUCACUGUGUGAGGCAUUGCUUGGGUUGCAAAAUAAGGGGAGACCUUUCUUUCCUAUUGGCCUCUUGGGAUUGGGGUUUCUCUCCAAUUCUUACAAGCAUAUAACAAUUCCUUUGGAAAACGAGUUUACUCAUAUAAUUCUCUGGCAAAAAAAGCUUGGAAGUAAUCACCCCAUCAGUUACUUGCAAAACAAGUAUAAAAUUCGGAAUCUGAUUCAGCUGAGAGCUGACAAAAUGGGACUCUCUCUCUCUGUCUGUCUUUCAAAAGGGUAGUGGAGAGAGAGAGAGAGGAGAGUGGAGGGACAGUCUCAGCCAAGGAAGCAACAAAACCUGUAGCAAAUCUCAUUUGCAGAAAGAGAGAGGGAUGAGCUGGUUUAGGGAGUUCGAAUACACUAUCCUUGUGCAAACUGUGCGUCAAUUUCAUCCGCCACGUACACAUGCUUUUGGUACGGGUUGAAUCUGCAGGGCACUGCUCCAUAUUAAAUAUCAAAAGUAAUAUAUUCUGACCCUCCCGAGCAGGAUCCUGAAACAUAUUUACUG